AGAGUUUGAUCAUGGCUCAGGAUGAACGCUGGCGGCGUGCUUAACACAUGCAAGUCGAACGAUGAUGCCCACUUGUGGGUGGAUUAGUGGCGAACGGGUGAGUAACACGUGAGUAACCUGCCCUUGACUCUGGGAUAAGCCUGGGAAACUGGGUCUAAUACCGGAUAUGACCUUCCAUCGCAUGGUGGUUGGUGGAAAGCUUUUGUGGUUUUGGAUGGACUCGCGGCCUAUCAGCUUGUUGGUGGGGUAAUGGCCUACCAAGGCGACGACGGGUAGCCGGCCUGAGAGGGUGACCGGCCACACUGGGACUGAGACACGGCCCAGACUCCUACGGGAGGCAGCAGUGGGGAAUAUUGCACAAUGGGCGAAAGCCUGAUGCAGCGACGCCGCGUGAGGGAUGACGGCCUUCGGGUUGUAAACCUCUUUCAGUAGGGAAGAAGCGUAAGUGACGGUACCUGCAGAAGAAGCGCCGGCUAACUACGUGCCAGCCGCCGCGGUAAUAC
rnacentral:rRNA from 1 species